rnacentral:rRNA from 1 species
AGGUAAUAGAUACCCAGGUAGUCCUAGCUGUAAACGGUGCACGUUUGGUGUGGGAGGCAACCCCUUCCGUGCCGAAAGCUAAACGCGAUAAAAACGUGCCGCCUGGGUAGUACGGUCGCAAGACUAAACUCAAAGAAAUUGACGGGGACCCGCACAAGCGGUGGAGUAUGUGGCUUAAUUCGAUGCAACGCGAAGAACCUUACCAGGGCUUGACAUGUAUUGUAACCCCGGUGAAAGCCGGGCAGCAUGGAAACAUGCGCUUUACACAGGUGCUGCAUGGCUGUCGUCAGCUCGUGUCGUGAGAUGUAGGGUUAAGUCCCGCAACGAGCGCAACCCUUAUGAUUUGUUGCCACCGGUUCAUUCCGAGCACUCAAAUCAGACUGCCCAGAUUAACUGGGAGGAAGGUGGGGAUGACGUCAAGUCCGUAUGGCCCUUACGUCCUGGGCUGCACACGUACUACAAUGUCCAGUACAAAUUGAACCGAUACCGCAAGGUGGAGGAAAUCAACAAAACUGGGGCUCAGUUCAGAUUGCAGGCUGC